UACGUAGGGGGCAAGCGUUGUCCGGAAUCACUGGGCUUAAAGCGUGUGUAGGCGGAUCGUUAAGUACCUUGUGAAAUCCCACGGCUCAACCGUGGAACUGCUGGGUAUACUGGCGGUCUUGAGCCACCUAGGGGCAACUGGAACAAGCGGUGGAGCGGUGAAAUGCGUAGAUAUCGCUUGGAACGCCAACGGUGAAAACAGGUUGCUGGGGGUGUGCUGACGCUGAGACACGAAAGCCAGGGGAGCGAACGGG
rnacentral:rRNA from 1 species